ensembl:snoRNA LOC120095388 small nucleolar RNA SNORA70
CUGCACCCAAACCCAGGAUUCUUUCCUCAAGGGGCCCUGGAUGCAAUGGUGGCAGACAACAGCCUCUUUGGGAGUGUGCAGCCUGUACCUUGUUUGGAUUGCUCCGAGGACCUUCAAGAUAGAG